UCAUUUCGUCGUCCCAGCGAAAGCUGGGACCGUUGGCGUUCUGAUCCAGCGAUCCCAGCUUUCGCUGGGAUGACGGAUUAG
rnacentral:pre_miRNA from 1 species